rnacentral:lncRNA from 1 species
UGGUAUUAGCCUACGUGGCAUUUUUCUCAAUAGGGAUGGGCCCCAUCACAUGGGUGUAUAGUUCUGAGAUCUUUCCGUUGAGGCUACGCGCUCAAGGCACGAGUAUGGGAGUGGCUGUGAACAGAUUAACAAGUGGGGUCAUAUCGACGACUUUUAUUUCACUGUACAAAGGAAUAACAAUGGGAGGGGCGUUUUUUCUGUUCGCGGCUAUAGCAACGGUAGCGUGGACCUUCUUUUUUACAUGUUUGCCCGAGACACGAGGAAGGACAUUGGAGGAUAUGGAGGUCCUUUUUGGUAGUUUCAUUAAUUGGAGGUCUGCUUUGAAGGAGGAUAGCUUGAAGAAGAAAGCAGCUAGUAGUGAAAAUAAUGGUCAGAUUCAGUUGGGUACUGCUACUAACACUACUGUUACUAAAGCUUAGUUGAAGGAUAUUUUGGUAAAUCUACCUACUUGAUGAAAUGUUAGAUUAGUGUUUUUUUUUUUUUUUUUUUUUUUUUUUUUUUUUUUUUUUUUUUUAUGCUUGUUCUUACCUUAGUUGGGUGAGAUUCAGCCAAGUAAUGUUUGAAAUAUGAAAAUAUGGAAAGCUUGUAUGCAAGAAAAAGAAAUCCAACAAAAAAUCAAUUAAGAAGAAAGAGAUAUUAUUCUGUAUAUUUUUAAAAUCAAAUCAAAUCAAAUAAUAUAUCGAAUCAAUUCAGUUCAUUUGAGCUAAUUUGGUUGAUUUUUUAGUCGUUGUACAACUAUUUUAAGUAUAUAUUUUAGGUUUAUAAAUCAAAUUGAAUCGAAAAUUUUUAAUUUUUUAAUGAAAACUUAAAUCGAAUCAUAAAUAUUACUCCCUCAAUUCCACAUAUCAUUUUACCUUGUUCUACUUUUGUAAUAAUAUUAAAUGGGAAAAUUUUAAUUUUAAGAAGUGCGAUGUUAACAUUUCAUAAUGUAUUUUUAAAAAAUUAAUAUGUUCCGAUCAUUGUUUUAAUUCUUAUAAAAAGAUCAAAUGCUGUUAUUAAAGUGAAAUGGAGGAGGUAAAGAUUAAAUCAAAUUGAUUUAAUUCGAUAAUUUUAAUUGAUUUAAUCAAAAUAUGAACAGAUGGCAAAGCAGAAUUAGUUGGAGGUGUAAUUUGAAAUCUAAAGUUCAUUGAUAAUCUAAUAAUUACCAAUAUAGGAAAAUUUUAAUUAUGUUGUACACUUUUCUAAUCAACUCAAACAAACAUAUUUAAAAGAUGUCAUUUAUCAAUUAUGUAUACUUUUCUUUAUUUAAGGAAAUUAUUACGUUAUGCUGAUGUAUGGAUGGUGUCAAAUAUAAAUUUUUCUUUUCAUUUUUACUAUAAAAGUGAAUUGUUUUGUAAUUUAUAUAUUUGCAUAAUCCAAAACAUAUGUACUUAUUUGACAUGCGUAUGAAAAAAGAAGAGAAAUCACACAAAUAACAUGUAAAUAAUGACGUAAAAGUAAAGACAACUCCAAUUAUUGGGGAGAAAGAAAAUGUUGUCCACAAAUAUGUGUUUGGUCGAAUCACAAGGAAACCAAAGUCUCUGCUAAAUUUUUUUUUUUUAAAAAAAAGAAAUUGUAGAUUUAUUUCCACCUCCUAUGCAUAAUUGUUUGAGACUGAGUUCGAAUUAAAAAGAGAGAAAAAAAAUUUUAACUUUGAAUUUGAUUUUUGUCCCUAGAUAUGCAAAUAACUUUUGUUUUUUCAUUCUUUUUAAACAGGUGGACCUUAGGCAUUUGGAGGUUGUGGAAAAACCGAAAAGGAUUUUUUUUUGCUUAUAAGUGGUGGUUGUUUAUAUUUUUAGGUUGUGUUCAGCAAUGGCUUCUUUAAUAGCUUUGCUAAACGUAAUUUUUUAUAGUGUUCAGUAAUAUAGCUUUUGAACUAGUUUUUAGAUAUUAAUAUAGCGUUUUUAUAAAAAGUUAACUCAUAUCAUAUUUAAUUUUCAGCAUUUCAUAAAAAAUUACUCAAAUAGCUAAUAACUAAAUGUUAUUAAAACAAUUAACAGCUAUCAAAAAACGCUAAUUUUAUUGAAUAAAUCCUUAACAUUCUUUACUAUUUCCUUUUUUCUUUUUCUAGUAUGUAUGACCAAAGGAUUUUGGUUUAUUGUAUGCAGGAGGUUGGCCAAUGGCCUACUUAGUUUGUUGCAAUUUGGAAGAAGUGGUCCAACAUUGGGUUGGAUCCGACUAGUAAAAUUACUUGUAAAUCGACUCUUUAAAAGGACCUUACAAUAUUUAUACUUGUACUUUUGUUUUUUUGUUUUCUUUCAAAUAUUUAAAAAAAAAAAUGUAAUUAAAUCUUGAUGUAGUUGUUUGCCAUUUGUGUCCUUAAUUCCACAUGGUAGGCACGUAGCAAAAUGGAAAGGUGGCUAAUGACUAUAAACAGUGUAAUAGAACAGAAAUGAAAUAUGAGAAUCAUGGAUGAAAAUGGAUAAGACAUAAUUUAAGUUAUUAGAUCAGAAUCCACUUGACAUAGUUCUUACUUGAUGUUUAAAUGGAAAAAAGAAAAGAGAAGAGAAAUGGAAAUAUGAAGGAGAUGGGGAGAGAGAGCAAGCAUGUGAGUCUUGUCUUGCAUCCAGGUGCUAUGGUCCAUGCAUAAUUAAAUAAUGUGUCUGAGAAUCUGACAACUCAUUAUAACUCAUCCUCGUUUGCUCAAAUCUCCAGAAAGAAGGGACCCCCAAAUUGCUAAUUAUAAUGAAUCCACUAGAGAACUUUAAGAGUGGGUACUCGUGUGAUUAGGCAUAACUUAUCUAUCAUCUCACCUAUUAACAGCCACCGACCAGAAUAUGAUGAAAUCACGCUUUAAGCAUAGAAAUAGAAUUAUCGAGCACUUGCCCGAUAAUUUGAUUGCAAUAAAUAAUAUAUUUAAAAUUCAACUUUUGGAUUAAUUUUAAUAAAAAUUUUUCAAUUAUGAAUUUUUAAUUGAUUAUUGCUUAAUCUUCUAAUUAGAGCUUCCUUUAAAAAUCAUUAUAAAAUUUAAUUUUUCAUUAUUCAUUCUAUAUAUCACUUAAAUUUUUUUUAAACAAACAAAUAUUAUUAUUACCAUAAUUGACCAAAAUACUAUUUAAUGCAUGGUUGGUAAUGAUACAAAAUAUAAUUGGAUUUUAGAACACAUUAAUGUUAGUCGAAAACACCGAUGAAUCAAGAACUUCAAGUGGAUCGGAAGUCUCCAUACUCUAUAGACAUAAUUUCCUUUUUUAUUUUAAAUUAAUGUGCAUAUACAAUCUCCUAUUUUUUCAAUAUAUUCAAAAAAUGAAAGUUAAACUCCGAUUUAUAUAAAUUCUCAUGUGCAAGUUACAAUAAAUAUAAAAAGAAUUGCACUAGAUCAUCAAUACCCUCGUCCCAGAAUUCAUAUCCUUGUCGUUGUCGGAGUGUUUGAUAUACAGUAAAUUCUUCCACAAAAAAUGAGCCACAACUCCACAGUUAACCUAUAAAAUUAGAAAAAAAGUUCAUGUUCUCUUUAGUUCAAGAGAGCCAGAAAAAUACCACUUAACGCAGAGAGAGAAUUUACAUUAACAAAUCCAAAACAGCCAGACUGUAACAUGUGAUGUGUGAUUGUUCUUCCAAGAAGCAGUGAAUUUUCAUUAAUAAACAAGGGGGAAUCCCACCACUAGUUUACAAACAAAGUGCCGUUUUUUUUUUUUUUUUACAGAUCUUUUACCUCAAAAGCUUUUUCCUUUUUCUAAGGUGGAAAUCCCUUGAAAAGAAUUACAGCUGUAAGACUGACAAAAGAAAAUUAAUACAAAAAUUACAAGCAAUCAUGUACAUUUAAUGUUAGAAGCUCUAUGAUAUUGGUUCUACUUCUCAAUGCCUUGCUGCAGAUAUUGUAUCAAGUCAUAGCCGGCAGUUGUCCACUUGUUGUAGGCGUCUGUGCACACGCGGAUCAUAAAAUUGGCAGCUUCACGCUCGCUCAUCUCAGGAUGAAAUCUCUUGCGUAGAUUUCCGAUUGGAUCACCCCUACUGAAGCAUGGUAAUCCGCUGUCUAACAUCAACAUCACGGUGUUGAUUAUCCCAUCCAUGUAACGACGGGCUGCAAGGUAACCCUUGACGCACAAGCUGCGGAUCAUAAGAAGAGAAUCAAGAACUCAGCUUCGAAAAAUAUUGACCGAUAAAUGCAUACACAAUAAUAAAAAUGCAGAGCGUAUUUUACCUUACAAAUUGGUUCCAGGUUUCACUCUUCAUAACACCAGAAGGAUCUAAUAGUUGGGUCAUCUCAUGGCUCAGCUUGAAGUGUGCGCUUUCGAAUCUCAUAUUUCCACCAGGUGAUAUUUCAAAAAUGAAACCAAAAUCAAUAUGAACUAGCCUCCCAUCACUGCAUUGACAUUUAUGUUAAGAGUCAAAUUCUUAAUAUUUCUUUUCUUUACAUUUUUCUUUUUUCCUGAAAACCCCAUAGCUAUCAUGUUUUUAAAGAAAAAAUAGUUGGAAGAUUGUAAAAUCAAGGGAAACGAUCGGGCAAAAGAUCUCAUACCUAUCAAAAAGAAGAUUCCCAUUAUGUCUGUCCUUCGGCUGAAGCAAAAGACUGGCUACUGCAUAACCUGCACUGCUAACGAUAAAGUUUUCACGUGCAGUUUCAAAACUAGGAGAGCCUACAGGCCCAAAAUCCUGUUGAAAAAUCUCAAAUAAACCACCAUCUGUUGUUUCACCCAUUUGACUUCUGCUUCGCGAGUUAGGAACCACCUGUAUGAUUCAAGAAUAGAUACUAAGAAAGAUAGCAUGCAGAAUUUUGCAGGUGAUUCAUUUUGAACUAAAAGAUAUCAUUCUCAGAUACAUGGGGAGAUGAAAGGUCAAGAAUAUAUGGCAUUUUAUUUUUAUCCCCCAUUAUGUAAGAUAUAUUUGGAUCUUUUUGUUUCUUUGAACAUAAGCUUGUUAUAAAUUAGGCAAGAAGUUCAAUUAAUUUCAAGAAAAUUCAAAACAGAAAGCACCUCAUGGAUCAUGGGCAAGCCCAGAAUUCUCCAUAACUUCCCACACUGCGAAGAACUCAAGCGCAAAGGCUAAUGGUAGAUUGUAGUUCACAAGAACUGCUAUCUGUUAAUCUAACACAACACUAUCCAUGGCAGUGAUAACAUACAUGCAAAAUGCGCAUGCAUGCUUUAUCAGAAUCACCACAAACUUCUCUAUCAUUGGCAUUCUUAAUUUGCCAAACACUACUAAGUGUAUAACAUUUUCAAACAGGAAUAAAGUUACUGCGAGACUCUUCCAUAAUAAAAGAAAAAUAUCUAAAACAUUCUAAUACAAAUCACAAAAAAAAAAAAUGUUUGAGAGCACUCCAGUUAUUAAUUUCAGGCACUAGUCUAAUAUAAUCUAUAAUCAGGAACUUUAUGAUUAAUUGAUGUUUAGAGAUAUCAAACUUAUGAACCAAAAAGAACGAAAAGAAAUGAAACUUGAAUCAUAUACAAUCAUCCCGGAAUGGAACUUGCACUUUAAAGUUUAAAUAACCAUGUUACAUUUACAAACAUGGCUUGAAAAGAAAAUCACCUCAAUUCACACACAUAUGACAUAUCACACUAGUAAUCACCUCAAUUCCAUGUAUGCACCGUAUGGAUCCAUAUCCAAUAUAGCAAUGCCCUAGACACAAGCACACAUUUCAGUUUAAUGAUGAUGGAAAAUCAGAGCUCACCUCAAUAAUACCUCUCUCCGGGCCAGUUGGAAGAACUCCAUAAGGAAACAAAUAGAGAUUAAGUCCCACUGCUUGAAAUAUGUCUCUAAGUAAUGAUAUCACUUGAAGAGCAAGAACAUCUUGCCGACAAUCAUCACCGACCUUAAAAAAGGAAAAACACUUGUGAGAAUACAACUCAAUUUGGAAAAUAAAAAUUUCAAAUCCAGAAAAUUUAAUUUACAAAAUAUGACAUACAUCUCUUUAAAAAUCAGCAUUUUAUCUGUUUUAUUGAGAUUUUGUAGCACAGUUUUAGAAACUUCAAUGAAGUUACCAAAUCAGAAACCCAAAAUUAGUCGUGCGCAUUAUUUGGUUAUUAUCAAACAACUAAACCGAACCAACAAAUUGGCUUAUUUCAAUAAAGGAAAUACAGUUAUUGCAGUAACAGAAAAUUCAGUUUCCAAAUUAUCAGUUUAGACACCUAAAAAAUGAUAACCAAAAUAAUCAAUUAUCAUUAUUAACAUAUUUUUUUAGCAAUAUAUCAUUGUAAUUAUGUUCUUACAAAUAUAUAUAGUUGAUACUGAUCUGGAACGUUUCGAUUUUGUUAUCAGGUGUAUAUAGUUCAGUUCAGUUGGUAUCAAAUUCGUUUGACCCAAUUAAUGCUCAUUCGUGCUCAACCAUACCCAUCCUGUGCAUAAAUGUACCAUAAGAGAAUGUUUCAACAAGACCAUCUGUAAUUGAUACCUUUAAUGGAAACUAGAAUUACCAAUUAUAAGUAUUAAAUCCAAAAAUUUCAUUGCUAUAUAAUAAUAUUUCACUUGCAAAGAUAGGAUCCGACUAUAUUUGGACUUAAAUCUACCAACUAAAAUGAGGACAAUGGGAAUUUGGAAUAAGGAUUGGGAUUGUGUAUCAUUAUCAAAUAAUAGUCAAAUGAAGACCCCACUCGGGCCAAAAGAGAUCACUGAGAAAUAUCGUAUAUCCUGAUUGGACCAACCAUCUAGUUUAACUUAUGUAGAAUCAAUACUAUUUUGCAAUUUUCAAAUUCAAAAAAAAAAAAAAAAAAUUGUAUUUACACUAAUAAAUCAAAACUUGCACCUCAUUACAAGUCGAACUAUUUUCUGAAAAUGACAAGUAAAUUUCACCAUCAACAUAAUUGUAUGCACUCUAUUUCAACUUAAAUUGCCUGUAUAUCUCUUGAACCUGAAAGCACAGUCCCUGCUGCUUGUUAAAAGAAGGCGCACAACCUCCUUUUGCUUUUGGUCUGGAGUCUGGACUUAUAGCUUUUGUAAUAUAUUUAUCCCAACUUUGUGUAAAUCCUUACUAUUCAUUAAAUGGGUGUGAAGAAGAUGUCUAUCAAGGCAGAAAAGUAGAUAAUGCAUAUGUGAGCUGUGCAUGUUUUGUGCUUUAAGUGCAGUCGUGAGUUUUGAAGUUUGCUAUAUGCUUCCAGUGAGGGUGAGAAGCUAGAUAUGUGGCAAACUGCUACUGUUUUUCUCAGUUGUUUCCCCCUCCCCCUAAAGAACAUUAGGCUACGUAUUAAAUAAUGUUUAAUUUUUUGGUAUAUUUUACAUGUGAUAUUUGCUUAGUUUUUACUUGGGCAUAAUAAAUCCAGACUUAAUUCCUAUGUUGAAUCCCAAUAUUAGCAAACAUAAUAUCAAACUUAAUUGGAUGCGGAACAAAGUUGAACAAAGUUGGUUUUUGCAAAAAGGCAUAUACAUGUAUAUAUAUGUAUUAAUUUCAAAAUAUCAGUUAUUUGAAAGUCUAAUUUGUGGCUAAACUUAGUUUCUUAAGUUUAUACAUUUAAUUAUUGCACGGGCAUCUUAAAACCAGAGACUUUCUCACUAAUCCAAAGUUUACACAUUAAAAGGUUCACAACCGUACCUUGAAAAUGCAAGCUUGAGGUUUUAUUUCAUUUGGCGUCUCCCGGUCAACCACAUUAAAUGUAAUCAUUAUAGGAACUUUUGCUGCUGACUGUAACGGUAUUCCACUGUCCACCUGUAUACCCCUGACAAGCUUGUUAGGAGCAGUUGGUAAAUAAAGGUCCUCUCCCUGCACUUCAGUUUUUUCCAACUCCCUGUCGUCGCAAGUUCAUAGAAACAUCAACAGCAAGAUACAAAAUAUAAAGAAGAAGAUUUAAAAGCAUUAACUCAAGUAUACCUCCGAAUACCAGCUCGACGUUCUUCCUUAGGAAUUGGAUAGAGAACACCAGAAAUAGAUGUGACUUUGUCAAAGAAGUCAAAUUCCCUUUGAAAUAUGUCAAGGGCCUUUCCAGCGAAACCAUCAAUAAUAUGUUGUCGAACAAUUGGUAACAGCGCUUGAAAGGAACUAUUCUGAAAUAACAGUAAGUAUAUGUUUGGUUAUUGGGCAUUGAAUAGCAUUUGACAGAUAAUGAUCUACCAAUCUACAGAUAGAUACAUAAGAUACACAUAUGCACAGAGCCACAGACAUACAUUGCAACACAAUGUUUAAGUCAUGAUGUCUAGUCGCAAAUAGGUAAACAGUAACACAAUUCAGAUUGCAAAUUUUAACUGUAGAAUAUGGCAUGUGAUUGUAUUGUUUUUGAGUGUGUUACAUUUAUAUAUUUUUCAGCUCUAUCACCCUCCAAUCCAUGUGCACGUAACAUAGUGUUUCCAAUUCACAUAUAAUUGAUAACACAAGGAUGCUGCUAAGUCAUAACAUUUUACAAAGAGUUGAAAAAAAAAAAUCAAAAUAUAUUGAUAUAAGACUCUGCAUAAACUUAAUUGUUCUUUAAUGACAAAAUAUGAGAGGGAAGCACUGAGUCAGUAACAUGAUUCAAGGAAUUCAUUGUUCUGGCCAAAUUGAGAUGGCCAGAACUAUCGAACUAUCAAUUUCAUAAUCUUUUCAUUGUCAAGUUUUUGAUCGUGAAAAUCACUGUCGUUGUAGUAUAGUGGUGAGUAUUCCCGCUGUCACCCGGGUGAUCCGGUCCAAUCCCCGGCAACGGCGCAAAAAACUUGACAGUGAUUUUCGCAAGUGUACGAAAUUGCAACAAGUAAUAUAGAGUGAAAGAGUAUCGUAUCCACAGGGAUUGAAUAUCAAGUAAUAUAGGGAUUGUUAACCUAUUAUUAUUUAAACAACAAUAAGAGAGAUUUAUUAUAAGAAAAGAAAAAUCUAAAAUAAAACAGAAAGGAAUCAAGAAACAAUAUUUAGAUGUAAAGAAAUCAAGGGUUUAAAACUACUAGGGAUUUUGAUUUCACUUAAUUCUAUCCAAUUUAUUUUAUUAGUUUGUUAAUUAAAUUUGAUUGUUCAAAUAGGGGAAACAACCCUAAAAUCACUAAUAAGUUCUCCCGAUGUAUUGUUAGUUAUUCUAAUCCGGUCUAAUUGUCUAUCUUCCAAUAGCGCAAUCAAACAUGAAUUAAAUUAUUAAGUUUUAUAAUUUGUUUUGUGAAUUCAUAACCUGAGGUCAUUAACUUAUGAAAACCCCCAUAAGUCAAACCAUAUAGCUUCCGCAUCAAGUUAUUAUUCUCAUGUAGUUUAUUACCUUUUUCGUAUCUAAAACCCUUCUUCUGGUAGUGAUUAAUGAAAUAAAUCAAUCCAGAGGAGAAACUCUGUCUGGAAGCAUUAAGUUCAAUAAUAAAUUAUAUCAAGAACAAAGAACAGCAAAUCUAAUAUUAUAAAUUGGAAUCGAAUUAAGCUAUAUCAAAUCCCUAGGUGGCACGCCCUUGCUUCGAAGGCAGAACUGACAUGAACUAAAAAUGCAAAUCAAUCAUUUUCUCACAUGGGCCCACCUCGGAUAGUUUCUUAAACAUACUAAAUAAGAUCUAGACUUAUUUUGGAAGAGAAAAGAGUCCGAAUUAAGAAGAAAUCCAAGGCCUAAAUAGUCAUGAUCUCCUAAAGAAGAUUUUGUACUUAAUAAGGAUUCUAUUUCCUAAACGGAGUCAGAUUUACCUUCAGGAGGUCUAUAUAAAGAGGGAAACUUUUCAUUGAUUGGUAUCUCGAAAUUUAGUAUUUUUCUAUAUAGUUCUCUCUCUCUCAAAGGUCUCAAGGAAACCAUAUACAUAACUGUUACCUAGUUCUUAUCUCUAAACUCUUAAUAUUAUUUUUCUUUUCAUUGUUCAUCACUGAUUAUGAAGAAUUAUUCAAGUAUUAUUGAGUUUUAUUUACUUACUAUGUCUAGCUAAAUUCUUAUACUAGGGAUUUGAUGUAACUUAAUUUGAAUCUAAUUUAUAAUAUUAGAUUUGUUUUCAUUGUUCUUGUUAUAAUUUAUUAAUGAGCUUAAAGCUUCCAGGCAGAGUUUCUCCCCUGGAUUGAAUUAUUUCAUUAAUCACUAUCGGGAGAAGGGUUUUUGAUAUGAAAAAGGUAAUAAAUUACUUGAGAAUAAUAACUUUAUGCGGAAUCUAUAUGGUUUGGCUCAAGGGGGUUUUCAUAAGUUAAUGAUCUUAAGUUAUGAAUUCACAAAACAACCAUAAAACUUAAUGAUUUAAUUUAUGUUUGAUUGCGCUAUUGGAAGAUAGGUAAUUAUAGUAGAUUAGAACAGCCAACAAUCCUCAAUUUAAUUAGUUUGAAUCGAGUAUUCAAUUAAUUUAUCUCAUGUUGAUCCUCAAUUUAACUAGCUUAAAUCAUCUUUAUGGAAACCUUCACUUAAGAAGAGAUGCGCACUAUAGGCUCUUCGGCCCUAUAGUGUCCAUAGAGCUCCUUCCCUACGGAGACAUCAGCCCCUCUUCAUAGAGCACGAUGCCCGCACCUAGCUCACUAGGGCUCGGUCCCGCAUACCGGCCCCGGGGCAGAGGAGAGCAUUACGCCGGGUCUCUCCUCUCAUAUUCUCGGUCCAUAUGCCAUUCAAGAUGUUAUUCUCGUCUCUAAUAGCCUUAUUUCAUCCAUAGGGUCACCAUGGUAAGGCACCAUGGAUAGGGAUGCUGAGUAUAAAUAAUACUGUGAAUUGAAUUUUUUUGUUUUUAGAAAAUUGUAGAUUAAAUUAUUAGUACAAUUACUAGUAUAAUUGAAAUGCUUGUUUUAUAAUUAAAUCCCUGCAAACCACCUACAAUUUCACUUUUAAGAAAUUCUUGUGUAAAAUUUUUAAUUUAUUAAUGUAAAUUGUUUAUAAUAUUAUACUAAAAAUUAAUAAAAAGUUAUAUAUAAAAAUUAAAUUACAUUUACACGAGAAAACUAUUAAUAAAAAAAAUACAAUGAAUAUACACAUGCUGCCCAUGUGACUAGUUAUAAUAUUAAGACAGGCGGUAAUUUAUAAAAUAAAAUGAAAAUCCAACAGGUUAACAGGUCACCCAAAUUGAUAAUACAUUAAAUUUUUUUUAUUUAAAAAAAAAAGUAAAAAAAAAAGGGAAGAAAGAAAAAGCCAGGCCUUGUUGUCUAUUUAAGCAGGUCCAGUUUCUCAUGGAGCUGCAGACUCAUUAAAAACACUCUCUGUCUCUCUUUCUUGUUAUCAGUUAAGCUAAAGAGAGAUGAGCGCUUUAAACACAGCAGAGAAGGAUGUUGCGCUUGGUUGUGCUGUUUUGGCUUCCAUGACUUCUAUCUUACUUGGUUAUGGUGAGUUCUUUUUUUCUACUAAAAACCAUUUUUUAGUUUUAUCUCCAUUUAUAUAUUUCUUUGACUAUAAAGAAUUAAGAAACAAGAAAUGGAUUCCAAGCUUUGAAUUGUAAUGAUUUGGUUAUAUAUAUAUAUAUGUGUGUAUGAUUUUGUAGAUAUUGGAGUGAUGAGUGGAGCGGCUAUCUACAUCAAAGAUGAUCUGAAAAUCUCUGAUUUACAAGUAGAAGUUCUGGUGGGAACACUUAACAUAUACUCAUUAGUUGGUUCAGCAGCAGCUGGCCGGACCUCCGACUGGAUAGGGCGGCGGUAUACUAUAGUGGUGGCUGGAGCUAUUUUCUUUGUGGGAGCUCUUCUAAUGGGAUUUGCCACAACUUAUGCGUUUCUGAUGGUAGGGCGGUUUGUUGCCGGGAUUGGUGUCGGCUAUGCUCUUAUGAUUGCACCGGUUUAUACUGCUGAAGUGUCUCCGGCUUCCUCUCGUGGAUUUCUCACUUCAUUUCCUGAAGUACGUAUACAUUAAUAUAUUAUAUAAUAUAGUUCUUAUCAUUUUAUAUAUUAUCUUUGAAAAACUAUAAAUUUUUUAAUUCUGAAAAUAGAUUUAUAUUUUAUGUUGGGACAAGUUUACUUGAAUACUAUGAGAUGUUAAAAAGAGAAAAAAAAAUCUUUUAUUUAAAAAUUUCAUCUUUAAAACAAAUAAACCAAAAGUGUUAUAUUUAAAAUGCAUAUAAAUAAUUUAAUACAUUACACCAAAAAUAGCUUAUAAUAAUAUUAUAAUACUUAAUAAAUAAAAACAUUUGCAUUCAUUAUUAAUUAACGGCGUUUUUUAAUUCACAGGUGUUCAUUAACGGCGGGAUCUUGCUCGGCUACGUAUCAAACUUUGCAUUCUCAAAGCUUCCAACUCAUUUGAGUUGGCGGUUCAUGCUUGGAAUCGGUGCAGUUCCUUCAGUUUUCCUUGCUCUAAUUGUCCUUGUCAUGCCCGAGUCACCUCGUUGGCUCAUUCUGCAAGGCCGACUCGGUGAAGCCAAGCGAGUCCUGGACAGGACCUCCGACUCCAAAGAAGAAUCUGAAGCAAGACUCGCCGAUAUAAAAGAAGCCGCAGGUAUUCCUCAAGAUUGCAACGACGACAUCGUUCAAGUGCAAAAACAAUCCCAUGGUGAAGGUGUAUGGCGGGAAUUACUCCUCCAUCCUACACCGUCCGUUCGCCAUAUCUUAGUUUGUGCGAUCGGGAUUCACUUCUUCCAACAAGCUUCGGGUAUAGACGCUGUCGUAUUAUACAGCCCCAGAAUAUUUGAAAAGGCCGGGAUCACAUCAGAUGAUAAUAAGUUACUUGCAACUGUAGCCGUUGGAUUUGUUAAGACAAUGUUCAUUUUAGUGGCUACGUUUUUCCUAGACAGGAUCGGACGGCGACCGUUGCUCCUAGCAAGUGUUGCUGGAAUGAUAUUUUCGUUAGCGACCCUUGGAUUUUCGUUGACCAUUAUAGAUCAUUCGCACGAUAAGCUAACAUGGGCUAUAGUAUUGUGUAUAACAAUGGUAUUAGCCUACGUGGCAUUUUUCUCAAUAGGGAUGGGCCCCAUCACAUGGGUGUAUAGUUCUGAGAUCUUUCCGUUGAGGCUACGCGCUCAAGGCGCGAGUAUGGGAGUGGCUGUGAACAGAGUAACAAGUGGGGUCAUAUCUAUGACUUUUAUUUCACUGUACAAAGGAAUAACAAUAGGAGGGGCGUUUUUUCUGUUCGCGGCUAUAGCAACGGUAGCGUGGACCUUCUUCUUUACUUGUUUGCCCGAGACGCAAGGAAGGACAUUGGAGGAUAUGGAGGUCCUUUUUGGUAGAUUCAUUAAUUGGAGGUCUGCUUUGAAGGAGGAGAACUUGAAGAAGAAAGCAGCUAAUAGUGAAAAUAAUGGUCAAAUUCAGUUGGGUACUGCUACUAAUACUAUUGUUACUAAAGCUUAGUUGAAGGAUAUUUUGGUAAAUCUACCUACUUGAAAUGUUUGAUUAGUUUUUUUUUUUUUUUCUUGUUUUUGUGGGAUUUCACUUGUUCUUACCUUAGUCGGGUGAGAUUCAGCCAAGAAAUGUUUGAAAUAUGAAAAUAUGGAAAGCUUAUAUGCAAGAAAAAUAAAUCCAACAAAAACUCAAUUAAGAAGAAAGAGAUAGUAUUCUGUAUAUUUUUUAAAUCAAAUCAAAUUAAAUAAUGUAUCGAAUCAAUUCAGUUGAUUUGAGCUAAUUUGGUUAUUUUUUAGCCGUUGUACAACUAUUUUAAGUUUAAUGGUUUAGGUUUAUAAAAAUCAAAUUGAAUCGAAAAUUUUUAAUUUUUUAAUGAAAACUUAAAUCCAUUCCACAUACCAUUUUUACCUUGUUCUACUUUUGUAAUAAGAUUAAAUGGGAAAGUUUUAAUUUUAAGAAGGGCGAUGUAAAUAUUUCACAAUGUAUUUUUAGAAAAUCAAUAUGUUCCGACCAUUAUUUUAAUUCUUGUAAAAAGAUAAAAUGCUAUUAUUAAAUGUGGAAAAACCGAAAAGGAUUUUGCUUGCUUACAAGUGGUGGCUGUUUAUAUUUUAAUGUUGUGGUCAGCAACAACUUUUUUAAUAGCUUUGCUAAACGUAAUUUUUUAUAAUAUUCAGUAAUAUGAUUUUUGAACUAACUUUUAGAGAUUAAUAUAGCGUUUUUAUAAAAAGUUAACUCAUAUUACGUUUAGUUUUCAGCAUUUCAUAAAAAAUUACUCGAAUAGCUAACAAUUAAAUGUUAUUAAAACAAUUAACAGCUAUAAAAAAAAGCUAAUUUUAUCGAAUAGACCUCUACUAUUUCUUUUUUUUUUUUUUCUUUUCUUGUAUGUAUGACCAAAGAAUUUGGUUUAUUGUAUGCAUGAGGUUGGCCAAUGGCCUACUUAGUUUGUUGCAAUUUGGAAGAAGUGGUCCAAUAUUGGGUUGAAUCCGACUAGUAAAAUUACUUGUAAAUCGACUCCUAAAAGGACCUUACAAUAUUUCUUUUUUGUUUUCUUUCAAAUAUUUUUUUUAAAAAAUAAUGUAAUUAAAUCUUGAUGUAGUUGUUUGCCAUUUGUGUCCUAAAUUCCACGUGUGAGUCUUGUCUUGAAUCCAGGAGCUAUGGUCCAUGCAUAAUUAAAUAAUGUGUAUGAGAAUCUGACAACUCGAUUAUAACUCAUCCUCGUUUGAUCAAAUCUCCAGAGAGAAGGGACCCCCAAAUUGCUAAUUAUAAUAAAUCCACUAGAGAACUUUAAGAGUGGGUACUCGUCACUAAAAAAAAACGUUCAAUUGCGAUCGACCUAAAUCGGUAGCAGUUUUGCGACCGAUUUGCGACUUAUAAGCCAUCGGUCGCAAAUUUUGGCGCUGAAAAUUCCCGCGAGAGUGGUUAAUAAUUUGCGACCUGUGUACUACGGAUUUGCGACCGAUGUGAGACUAAGUGAUUUUCUGCAGUAAAAUUUCGCGCGUAAAAAAUGGGGCAAAGUUCUGAGACGAUUGGAGACUAAAUUGCGACUGAUUUUUUGCGACCGAUUUAUUUAGUCGCAAAUGGGUCGCAAAUAUUGUCCAUAGUCAAACGAUGUCGGCUCAUUAAAAAUUGCGACCGAUAAUUAUAAAAUUUGCAACCGAUGUUUCGGUCGCAAAAGUUAGGGCUUUAAACGCCGCGCCCUCUCUUUUUUCUUUCUUCUUCUUUCUCUCUUCUCCUUCUCCUCUCCUCUCCUCCGUCCGCAACGCCGCUCCGGCCCUUCCUGACACCGUUCCAGCCCGCCUGACGCCGCCAUUCUCGCUCCCUUUGCACUCCAGUCACUCUGUUUCGAAACAAUCUGAGGUUAGUUUUAUUUUGCAAUUAAUUUUUCGAAAUUUUUUUUCGAAUUUAUUUGUUUUUUAUUAUAUUAAUUUAUGGUUGAUUUUGUAUAUUGUUGUUAGAAUUUUGUAUAUGGUUGCGAUUAAUUUAUUUUGUAUAUGGUUGAGUUGCGAUUAGANNNNNNNNNNNNNNNNNNNNNNNNNNNNNNNNNNNNNNNNNNNNNNNNNNNNNNNNNNNNNNNNNNNNNNNNNNNNNNNNNNNNNNNNNNNNNNNNNNNNNNNNNNNNNNNNNNNNNNNNNNNNNNNNNNNNNNNNNNNNNNNNNNNNNNNNNNNNNNNNNNNNNNNNNNNNNNNNNNNNNNNNNNNNNNNNNNNNNNNNNNNNNNNNNNNNNNNNNNNNNNNNNNNNNNNNNNNNNNNNNNNNNNNNNNNNNNNNNNNNNNNNNNNNNNNNNNNNNNNNNNNNNNNNNNNNNNNNNNNNNNNNNNNNNNNNNNNNNNNNNNNNNNNNNNNNNNNNNNNNNNNNNNNNNNNNNNNNNNNNNNUUGGACGAGGUAUAGUUUAGUUGAUUUUUCAUUUAUUAUUUGGGAUCUUGCAAAAGCUGAUACCAAGCUUUUCCCUUUUAGACAUAUUGGAUUGAAUUUGAAAUCUAUUAUGACAUUGUAAUUGAAAUAUUCAAGCAUAAUCCAUUUUCAUAUAAAAGGUGCGUGUAAGGAAAUGGACAAGUCAUUUUAGGGGCUUUGUUGAGGAGAUUCUGAAUGGUACUUCAUAUGUGUCUUAUAUUAGGCAUGUGCACACAAAAUACAAAUUAUUAUUAUUUUUUUAUAUACUGAAACUACUUCAAAUGAACUCUACAUUUGGUUCUAGUGUCUAGUGGUUUCAUAAUUUGCAGUAAAAUUUUGUCAUGAAUGUAUUUGCCAGUGAUUUAAUGUUGAGCCGUUUGACAGGUUGAUGCAGCUCUUGAUUUAUGCCACACACAGAACAUAGGGAGAAUGAUCAAAGCUCACUUUCCACAUUCCCAGGUCAAAUAAUUUUCUUUUGAUGCACUUAGUGGCAAAGGGAAUAAUUUAGCAGCAAAUGUGNNNNNNNNNNNNNNNNNNNNNNNNNNNNNNNNNNNNNNNNNNNNNNNNNNNNNNNNNNNNNNNNNNNNNNNNNNNNNNNNNNNNNNNNNNNNNNNNNNNNNNNNNNNNNNNNNNNNNNNNNNNNNNNNNNNNNNNNNNNNNNNNNNNNNNNNNNNNCCUUUCGGACGAAAUUUGUAGAUGGUGUUUCAAUUGUCCAGAGGACUGUUGCUGCUAAGCAAAACAAGUGAUUGCUGCCACAUUAUCAGGUUUUAUUCUGUGUUACUUUGAUGGAAUUUUAUUAUUCGAUUCACAUGUUUUGAAUUAAUGUCCAGUAAUGCCUGGUUAGUCCAUCUAUUAUUAAUGUACCGUCACUAGUCAUAACACAGUUACUUAACCCAGUUCCAAAUUUUUGUAUUUUGUCUUUAAUUUGACAUCCNNNNNNNNNNNNNNNNNNNNNNNNNNNNNNNNNNNNNNNNNNNNNNNNNNNNNNNNNNNNNNNNNNNNNNNNNNNNNNNNNNNNNNNNNNNNNNNNNNNNNNNNNNNNNNNNNNNNNNNNNNNNNNNNNNNNNNNNNNNNNNNNNNNNNNNNNNNNNNNNNNNNNNNNNNNNNNNNNNNNNNNNNNNNNNNNNNNNNNNNNNNNNNNNNNNNNNNNNNNNNNNNNNNNNNNNNNNNNNNNNNNNNNNNNNNNAGAGCAAUAAUCUGCAUCUAACUAUUCCUCAUUAAUUAUUCCUACAUAAUCUGACAAGUCUCAAAAAUAGCAAAGCCAUUCAAGUAUUUCCUCCAUCCUCAGUUCUGUAAAUAUAUAUUAAUGCUUUCAUAAUAGUGAAAAGCAUAAAGUUGGAAAAGAAGAUAAGUCUUCUCAAAUGACAAACAAAAUAGGGAAAAAGAAAGCUAGGAAUGGUAAACUGAGGAAUGUCAAAUUAAAGACAAAAUACAACAAUUUGCGACCAAUUUGCGACAGACUUUUUUUGCAACUAAUUUGCGACAGCAUUUGCACAUGAAAACACGACCAAAUUUUGCGAUCGAUUUUUUAAUUUUGCGACCGAAAAAUCGGUCGCAAAUUUGCGACCGACGGAAAAAAUCGAUCGCAAAAUAUUUUGCGAUAAGAAUUUUUGCGACCGACGUGUUUUGGUCGCAGAUAGGGCGCUAAUUGAAUUUAGCGACCGAUUUUUUGGCAUUUUGCGACCGAUUUGUCGAUCGCAAAAUGCCGUUUUUUUUGUAGUGCGUGUGAUUAGGCAUGACUUAUCUAUCAUCUCACCAAUUAACAGCCACCGACCAGAAUAUGAUGAAACCACACUUUAAGCAUAGAAAUAGAAUUAUCGGGCACUUGCCCUUAAAUUUGAUUGCAAUAAAUAAUAUAUUUAAAAUUUUACUUUUGGAUUAAUUUUAAUAAAAAAUUUUCAAUUAUGAAUUUUUAAUUGAUUAUUGCUUAAUCUUCUAAUUAGAACUACAGAUAUCCUGAGAGAGAAUCUGACUCCGUUUAGAAAAUAGAAUCCUUAUUCAAUACGAAAUCUUCUUUGGAGAUCAUAAACUGAUUAGGCUAAGGAUUUCUUCUUAGUUAAGACUCUUCUUUCUUCCUAAAUAGACUUAGAUCAUGUUUUGCACGUUUAGGAACAUAUCUGAGGUGGGCCCAUGUGAAUUAAAAAGACUGGAUUGCGUUUUUAUUCAAAAUAGCUUCGCCUUAGUAGCACGGGCGUGUCAUAUAGCACGGCUUGGGCGUGCUAGAGUCUGGACCUCUGAAUGAUUCAGCAUGGGCCGUGCUAUGUAACACGCUUAGAGGAGUUUCUAUGGUACGGGCAUGCUCCCUAGCACGGACAGGGCGUGCUAGGCUCUAACUCUCUAAGGUAGAUUGCAUUACGGGCGUGCUAAGUAAACACGCCCUGAGGUUCUUUAGGCACAGACGUGUUAGAUAGCAUGGGCUGGUCGUGUAAGCGUCUGACUCUCCACUUGAUUUCUCUUAAGUUUAGCACGGGCGUGUCGGAUAGCACGGGCUGGCCGUGCUCGUGUCUGACUCUCCACUUGAUUUCUCUUAAGUUUAGCACGGGCGUGUCGGAUAGCACGGGCUGGCCGUGCUAGUGUCUGACUCUCCACUUAAUUUUCCUUAAAUUUAGCACGGGCGUGCUAAGGUGCACAGACUGGGUGUGCUCGAGCUUUAGUGUUUUGCUUUUUAAUACUCUUUUCUGUGCCAAAAUCCUGCAAAUUUUUUUAAGAUUAAGUGAAUUAUGAUUCAAGGGAGUUUGAACAAAAUUAUAAUUAAAAUGAAGUAAAACUUAAUUAAAGUGAUAAAUUUAAUAAAAAUUCUAAAUAAAACUAUACUAAAAAUACUAUAAAAAUGAUACCUAUCAUUCCUUAUUUGCUGAACGGUAUACAUGUUGUGUUUGAAUAUUUUAAUCAAAACUUUGGUUUGCUGUGCAAUUCUUAAAUUAAAAUAUGAUUUCAGUUUUUGGUGAAUAUAAAUUUUAUAAUAUGUCAAAUUUUGAAUAUUUUUUAAAUUUACUCUUGUAAUUACUAGAUUAAUAUAAUCUUUGGUAGCUUCUUCCUCAUUUUAGUUAUAUUGAAAUUAUAUUACAAUAUUAAUUUUUUUUUCAUUUCAAUAUAAUUUAAUUUUUAAUUAUUAAUAAAUCCAUUGUUAUAAAAUUGAGUUUAUGAUAUAAAGCCAACUAAAAAAAUUACAAGGUGUUUCUUAUAAAAUCCAUUUGUUGAAUUUAAGAUUUUAAGGUGGUUCUUUUGACUGGUCUAACUUAAUAAAAUAAUAAUUAAUAAUACGUAAGUCAGUAACGUAACUGACAUGCAUAUUCACUAAAUGAGUAAAUAUUGUAUUAGUAGCAUUUUUCAAAAAAUUUGACCAAUUUUACUAUAUUAUAAAUAUAAUUUUAUCAAUUUUUAAAAUAAAAAUAUAAAUUAAAAAUAAAAUAAAUUUUAAUUUACAUCGCGUCGAUUCUCAAUUUAAAUAAUUUUAAUCGAAUAUUCAAUUAAAUUAUCUCAUAUUGAUCCUCAAUUUAACUUGCUUGAAUCAUCGAUUAUAAAUAAUAUUGUGAAUUGAUUUUUUUUUUUUUUAGAAAAUUGUAGAUUAGAUUAUUAGUAGAAUUACUAGUCUAAUUGAAAUGCUUGUUUUAUAAUUAAAUCCCUGCAAACCACGUACAAUUUCUCUUUUAAGAAAUUCUUGUGUAAAAUUUUUAAUUUAGUAAUGUAAAUUGUUUAUAAUAUUGUAAUAAAAAUUAAUAAAAAAUUAUAUAUAUAAAUUAAAUUACAUUUACAAGAGAAAACUAUUAAUAAAAAAAAUACAAUGAAUAUACACAUGCUGGCCAUGUCACUAGUUAUAAUAUUAAGACAAGCUGUAAUUUAUAAAAUAAAAUGAAAAUCCAACCAUUUUAAUCGGAUCAACAGGUUACCAGGUCACCCAAAUUGAUAAUACAUUAAUUUUUUUAUUUAAAAAAAAAAGUAAAAAAAAAAAAGGGAAGAAAGAAAAAGCCAGCCCUUGUUGUCUAUUUAAGCAGGUCCAGUUUCUCAUGGAGCUGCAGAACCCGGAGUUCUGCUCUCCUAAUAUGGCUGCUUGAGUUUAUCCAAAUCAACCUUAACAAACGCUAACACAGCCAUUUCAAAACACUCUCUGUCUCUCUUUCUUGCUAUCAGUUAAGCUAAAGAGAGAUGACUGCUUUAAACACAGCAGAGAAGGAUGUUGCAAAUCCCAGCAACUACCAAAACCAAACAGAGAAAAGACUUGCAGACUUCGAUCCUCCAAAGAAACCCAAAAGUAAUAAAUUUGCUCUUGCUUGUGCUGUUUUGGCUUCCAUGACUUCUAUCUUACUUGGUUAUGGUGAGUUCUUUUUUUCUACUAAAAACCAUUUUUUAGUUUUAUCUCCAUUUAUAUAUUUCUUUGACUAUAAAGAAUUAAGAAACAAGAAAUGGAUUCCAAGCUUUGAAUUGUAAUGAUUUGGUUAUAUAUAUAUAUAUAUAUAUAUAUAUGAUUUUGUAGAUAUUGGAGUGAUGAGUGGAGCGGCUAUCUACAUCAAAGAUGAUCUGAAAAUCUCUGAUUUACAAGUAGAAGUUCUGGUGGGAACACUUAACAUAUACUCAUUAGUUGGUUCAGCCGCAGCUGGCCGGACCUCCGACUGGAUAGGGCGGCGGUAUACUAUAGUGGUGGCUGGAGCUAUUUUCUUUGUGGGAGCUCUUCUAAUGGGAUUUGCCACAACUUAUGCGUUUCUGAUGGUAGGGCGGUUUGUUGCCGGGAUUGGUGUCGGCUAUGCUCUUAUGAUUGCACCGGUUUAUACUGCUGAAGUGUCUCCGGCUUCCUCUCGUGGAUUUCUCACUUCAUUUCCUGAAGUACGUAUACAUUAAUAUAUUAUAUAAUAUAGUCCUUGUCAUUUUAUAUAUUAUCUUUAUUUAUCACUUUGAAAAACUAUAAAUUUUUUAGUUCUGAAAAUAGAUUUAUAUUUUAUGUUGGGACAAGUUUACUUGAAUACUAUGAGAUGUUAAAAAAAGAAAAAAAAAAUCUUUUAUUUAAAAAUUUCAUCUUUAAAACAAAUAAACCAAAAGUGUUAUAUUUAAAAUGCAUAUAAAUAAUUUAAUACAUUACACCAAAAAUAGCUUAUAAUAAUAUUAUAAUACUUAAUAAAUAAAAACAUUUGCAUUCAUUAUUCAUUAACGGCGUUUUUUAAUUGACAGGUAUUCAUUAACGGCGGGAUCUUGCUCGGCUACGUAUCAAACUUUGCAUUCUCAAAGCUUCCAACUCAUUUGAGUUGGCGGUUCAUGCUUGGAAUCGGUGCAGUUCCUUCAGUUUUCCUUGCUCUAAUUGUCCUUGUCAUGCCCGAGUCACCUCGUUGGCUCAUUCUGCAAGGCCGACUCGGUGAAGCCAAGCGAGUCCUGGACAGGACCUCCGAUUCCAAAGAAGGAUCUGAAGCAAGACUCGCCGAUAUAAAAGAAGCCGCAGGUAUUCCUAAAGAUUGCAACGACGACAUCGUUCAAGUGCAAAAACAAUCCCAUGGUGAAGGUGUAUGGCGGGAAUUACUCCUCCAUCCUACACCGUCCGUUCGCCAUAUCUUAGUUUGUGCGAUCGGGAUUCACUUCUUCCAACAAGCUUCGGGUAUAGACGCUGUCGUAUUAUACAGCCCCAGAAUAUUUGAAAAGGCCGGGAUCACAUCAGAUAAUAAGAAGUUACUUGCAACUGUAGCCGUUGGUUUUGUUAAGACAAUGUUCAUUUUAGUGGCUACGUUUUUCCUAGACAGGAUCGGACGGCGACCGUUGCUCCUAGCAAGUGUUGCUGGAAUGAUAUUUUCGUUAGCGACCCUUGGAUUUUCGUUGACCAUUAUAGAUCAUUCGCACGAUAAGCUAACAUGGGCUAUAGUAUUGUGUAUAACAAUGGUAUUAGCCUACGUGGCAUUUUUCUCAAUAGGGAUGGGCCCCAUCACAUGGGUGUAUAGUUCUGAGGUCUUUCCGUUGAGGCUACGCGCUCAAGGCGCGAGUAUGGGAGUGGCUGUGGGCGGAGUAACAAGUGGGGUCAUAUCUACGACUUUUAUUUCACUGUACAAAGGAAUAACAAUAGGAGGGGCGUUUUUUCUGUUCGCGGCUAUAGCAACGGGAGCGUGGACCUUCUUUUUUACAUGUUUGCCAGAGACACGAGGAAGGACAUUGGAGGAUAUGGAGGUCCGUUUUGGUAGUUUCAUUAAUUGGAGGUCUGCUUUGAAGGAGGAGAACUUGAAGAAGAAAGCAGCUAGUAGUGAAAAUGAUGAUCAGAUUCAGUUGGGUACUGCUACUAACACUACUGUUACUAAAGCUUAGUUGAAGAAUAUUUUGGUAAAUCUAC